AGAUGGAUCAACUGCCACCCUAAUCAGUUAAUUCGCGAAUUAUUAAAAAUCCGAAUUAAACGGUCCGCUUACGAAUUUUUUUCCAAAGAAAGUGAAUUAUUCGCAAAUUUUUGGACCAGCCGAAUUAUUCGCGAAUUAUUCUCAAAUUAUUGAAAAAUGAAUAAAAAAUUUAUAAUUUUUAUUUUUAAAUAUAGAUUAUUUUUUAUAUUUUAUAUUUUAUACCGAAUCCGUUUUUUAAGCCGAAUUUUUCAACAAAUUUAAAAAUUAAAAAAACGAAUUUUAUGCGUAUUAUAUCCAUACCGAAUUUUUGCCGAAUCCAAAUUAACUAACUAUGACUGCCACUCACCACUUCAAUUUAGGGAUGCAAACGGGGCGGAUUUAGGGGCGGGAGCCCCGCCCCGCCCCGCCUUCUGCCCCGACUAGCAAAAUCCCGCUCUGCGUCUCGCCCCGAAUUCGUGACGGGUUAAAAAAUAUAUCUCAUAAUCUGUCCCGCCUCGUAACCCGCCUCCCGCCAGUGUCCCGAAUUCGUCCCGCCAACUAAUAUUUUUUAUAAAAUUAUAAUAUUAUUAAUAUUUUGUAAAAUAUAAAAUAAUAAUUUUUAAUAAUAUUACAUAUAUAGAACUAGGCUGGAAUACUAUCAAUAGCACCAAACUAUUGGUGCUAUUGAUUUUUUAGCCCUUAGAUUGAGAAAUGGGUUGUUAGGAUGAUGUGGGCCCCCUAGGGUUGAGUGAGUAGUUGGUUGAAUAGUAUAAUCUAACGGAUAAAAAUAAUCAUAGGGUUAAAUCGAAUGGUGAAAAACUCGGCAACACCAAAUCCUUAGUGCUAUCGAUAGUACCCAACCGGACUCACACACACACACACACACACACACACACACAUAUAUAUAUAUAUAUAGAGAGAGAGAGAGAGAGAGAGAGAGAGAGAGAGAGAGAGAGUUGAGCUAUGAUACUUUUACAAGUAUCACCAUCAUGGUGCUAUUAGGUUUUAAGCUAUUGGAUCUACUUUUUGAUUAUUAAUAGCCCUUGGAUUAAACACUAUUCCACCUACCACCACCUACCACCAUCAUCUCAACCUCACAUCUCUCCAUCCAAAGGCUAAAAACACACAAGUAUCACCCCCAUGAUACUUUUACAAGUAUUCUAUAUAUAUAUAUAUAUAUAUAUAUAUAUAGAAUUAGGCUGGAAUACUAUUAAUAGUAAAACGCUCUUUUUGCUAUCAAGUUUUUAGCCCUUGGAUGAAAAAUUAUAGGGUCAGGAUGAUAUUAGUCGGUUAGAGUUGAGUGAGGAGUUGAGUGGUCCCCCUAGGGUUGAGUGGUUCCCACUGGAUUAUAGUAUUUAAUCCAAUGGUUAGAAAUAAUGAAAAGAGUUGAUCCAAAGGCUAAAAAAUUGGUAGCAAUAAUAAAAUUUUGCUACUAAUAGUAGCUCAGUCCAACUCUAUAUAUAUAUAUAUAUAUAUAUAUAUAUAUAAAAUUAACAACAUCAAUUAUAAAAAUAAAAAAUAUCAAUCAUAAUUCGAAGUAAAAUUCAAAAGUUUUAAAUACAUAAGAAAUGAGAGCACUAAUUUAUUUAUAUUUUAAACUUUUUUAUAAAUACAUUAGUUUUUUGGAGUAUUUUUUAAAAUAUAAAUAGUUUUCGCGGCAGAUUCGGAACGGAUUCGGAGCGGAUCAUGACGGGGCGGAUCAAAAUUUUUCUCAUUUUUAUCCUGAAUCUAUCUCGAAUCAUAAAAUUUAUCAUAUUUUUUAUCCCGAAUUCAUUUAUUUUCUUCCCUUUAGUGCCUCGUUCGGAACGGGUUAGGAGAGAAGCUCCACCAACGAUACGUUUGCAUAGGGCUGGCAAACGAGCGAGACGGCUCGCGUUCGACUCGUGUUCGGCUCGAUAUUCGGCUUGCUCGAGCUCGACUCGAAAUUAAAUGAGCCGAGCUUGAACAAAAUAAAAGGCUCGAAAUUCAUUUCAAGCCGAGCUUGAGUAUUACUCGGCUCGUUCGAAUUAGGCUCGAAAAGCUCGAAAAGCUCGAAUAUAUAUAUAUAUAUAUAUAUACUAUAUAUAUAUAUAUAGAAUUGAGCUCCUAUACUUUUAAAAGUACCAAGUCAUUUGUGCUUGUAAGUUUUUAGCCCUUGGAUUAAUAGAUGUGCGGUUAGGAUGAUGUGGGCCCCCUUGGGUUGAGUGGGUGGUUGGUUGAAUAGUAUAAUCUAACGGGUGAAAAUGAUCAAAGGCGUAGAUCUAACGGUAAAAAAUUCACAAGCACCAAGUGCUCGGUACUUUUACAAGCACCAUAGCCGGACUAUAUAUAUAUAUAUAUAUAUAUAUAUAUAGGGUUUAUGGUUUAGGUAUUUAUAAAUAUAAAAUAUUUAUAAAUAUAAUGUAUUUUAAUUAUAUAUAGGCUUUAAUUUAAUUUGGGCAAUUAUUGUUGGCCCAUAAAAUAAACCCAACAAGUACAACCGUGCAAUUGAGCCCAACUAUAAAUUUACAUAACACACUCUCUCUUUCAGAUUUUCACUGUUGCACAUAAUCCUAAAACAUGAUAACAUUCAAAUUCUCAAAUCCCUAAUUUUUUUCUCCCCUCUCUCUCUCUCUCUCUCUCUCUCUCUCUCUCAGACCCUCACCCAGUCAGGCAGUCACCCUUGCUCACAUUUCUUGCAAUUAUUUUGUAUUUUGAACUAUUGGACAUGUUGCAUCAAAUUAUAAGUAAUGUUAUAUAAAAAUUAAAUUAUUGAUUAUAUAAUGUCGAGAAUUUCAAUCGGCUCGUUUAGAGCUCGAGCUCGGCUCGACUCGAAACUAAGCUCGCUCGAGCUCGGCUCGAAUUAAUUUCAAGCCGAGCUUGAGCCUAGAUUUAGGCUCGAAAUUAAUUUCAAGCCGAAUUUGAGCUGACAUAAGCUCGCUCGAGCUCGGCUCGUUUCCACCCCUACGUUUGCAUGCCUACUUCUGUUACUGGACUAGUACUAUGAUCCACAAGGUCGGACCAAAUGGAUGGAUCACAUGAGGCUGCGGCGUGACUGGGAGCUCUGUGGCUCCCAUACUCCCUCCAACGGAUAAACGGCCGACACGUGGCACUACUCUAAUGGCCAAAUCCCGCCAUCCCCAAUCCCAUUCCGAUCCAGCCUAUUCCACAUCACAACACGCAUUUACGUCUCUGCUUCUCUCCUUCUCUCCCUCCCAGUACUCCUCCUCCGGGAAGGGAAGCAGCUCCGCCAUGGCUCCCGCCCUCACCUCCAACUCCUUUCGACUCACCUCCGCCCCGCCUCGCCGGAGCUCCACCACCAUUACCGCCUCGGCGGCGGCCCCCAAGCCGAAUCCCUUCGGGAUCUUCUCGACGCCGCCCAAGAAGAAGAAGAAGCAGGGCGGGGAGGAGGGGGACGCAAAUUCCAACCCUAACCCCAAGAAUCCGUUCUCGGUGGACUUCAAGUCGCUGGUGCCGGUGGUGGGGUCGCCGUCGACGUCAGCGCUGUUCGCGGGCGGCGUGGGGCGGCGGCGGAAGGAUGCACAGACGGUGUUCGUGGCGGGGGCCACGGGGCAGGCAGGCGCUCGGAUCGCCCGCAGCCUUCUCCGGGGCGGCUUCACCGUGCGGGCCGGCGUGUCCGACCUCGCCGCCGCGCAGGAGCUCGCCCGCAUCGCCGCCGCCUACAAGGUCAGCACUCCGCAACCCCCCCCGCACGUACCUAGGUUCCUGCCCCGUACCGUACGUAGCGCAAGUGUACUGCAAUUAAGGAGGCUACUAAUUAAAGAGGACACAAUAUCGUCCAUUCUAGAGCUCUCCCACGGGAGGAAUUUUACAAGAUCACACUUACACCACUUCAUUAAUAAUAAGCCAAUCAUAUUUUUUCUUUUCAAACAAAAAUAUAAUAAAUAUUUUUUUUUAUAAUUAUGAUGAGACAUAUAUUUUUUUUAAAAAAUAUUUAAUUAUUUAUUACGUCACGUUAUCAAUAUAUCCGUUGCAUUCUAAAAUUUUUCCUUCCACGGCCCGGACGAACAAAAAUUAUAUAAACACCCUCCAUUCCCGUAGAUACCGUGAAGGACUAAAAUUGUAUGGACGCCAUUUGCAAGCACAAUAUCCGAUGGGACUGUAAAAUUGUACAGAGACCCCUCAACUAUGUGCUGUAUUGAAAUAGACUCUUUUUCUAUCUUUUUAAUAUGCGAUUUUAUGUACAGUUAAAUUUAUAAUUUUGUUACAUUUAAAUAAUUUAUUAGUAUUAUUGAUUAAUUUAAUUGUAUUUACUUAAACUAAUUAAUUAAAUUUAGUAAAAUUAUUAAUGAAUUUAAUAAAAUUUCUUAUGUAACUAAAAUUAAUUAAUUCUAAAAAAAGAUAAAAAAAACUAGCAUGUUACCUCAUGAUUUAGCGAAAGAGGUAAUUUCAAUUUGUCUCCUUAUAGCUUAGCAAGUUAUUAUCUUGCUACCUUACGGUUUAAAAACUAGUAUAUAGAUAUUUUAUUAUUUUAUUUUUAUGACUAAAAUAUAAAAAUAAAUUUUAUAAAUAUCAUUUUUUUUACUCUUAAAAAUUUUUAUUUUUCCUACUCUUCAAAAUUACUUUCAGAAAGUUAUGACAUUAAAAGAGAGAGGGUGAAUGUCCAAAUUAUUUCUACUAUCGUCAUUUUCAAGGAUAUUUUGGUAUAUACAAGUCAUAAAUUGACAAAAUAUUAACAAAACGGCGGGUUUAAGUGCAUCAAAAUAAAAUUUUGGAGUAGGCAAAAGUACAAAUUUUUAAAAAUGAGAAAAAAAUUAAAAAUGAAUAUUUAUAUGAAGUUUGUUUUUUAACUAAUUUAUAUUUCAUUGUCAAAAUAAUUAAUAAAUAUCAAUAAAUAGGAUUCUAAUUAAUAUUUUGAUAAAAAUAUAUAUAACUUAUCUAAAUUAUGGAUCAUUUUAAUUCGACUAUCUUUCAAAAUUAUAGUUUUAUUAUUCAACCUUUCAAUUUAUUUGAUUUGACUCAAUCAAUGACAUUUUUGAUUUUAAAAUUUAAAUGCUUAUUUAUCUUUAUAUGUUUAAUUAGUAUAUUUAUGCUCUUCUCACAGCUAUGAAUUUAUUAAAAUAAGUAAUUAAUUUAUAUUUUAAAGUGAAAGUGUCGUUAACUAACUUAAAUCAAAUAAGUUGAAAGGUUAGAUAGUAAAAUCAAGGAAAAAAUUCACGUAUCACUCAUGUGGUUUUUCACUUUCUUACUUUAAUAUUCUAUAAUUUAAAGUGUAUCACUUUUGUGACGCCCCAACUUUCCAGGGGGUCACCCAUCCUAGGACUACUCCCGUCCUAGCACGCUUAACUCUCUUAACCUCUUGGGCCUUACCACCGCCCAAAAUGCUUAAGCCGGAUUAAGAGUUUAGCCCUAUUAUAUCUCAUAUAUAAGACUAUCUGGGGUCUCACAGUCUCCCCUCCUUUAANNNNNNNCACGCUUAACUCUCUUAACCUCUUGGGCCUUGCCACCACCUAAAAUGCUUAAGCCUGGUUAAGAGUUUAGCCCUAUUAUAUCUCAUAUAUAGGACUAUCUGGGGUCUCACAACUUUCGUGACCUAUAAUUUUAUUUUAUUUUUUUGUUAUCCCCUCCACUAAUUUUUUCUUUAAAUCAGUGACAAAGUUAAAACAUAAAAAUACUAAAGUGAAUAUUCGAUAAACUAUAGGUGAGGUAUCUAAAUUUUUUGUAUAUAAUUUAAUGUAAAGUUAACGGAUGGGCCGAUAAAAAAAGAAAAUGAAAACAUAGGGCACUAAAUUGAUACACUUUAAACCAUAGAGUACUAAAGUGAUAAAUUGCGAAACCACAGGGGCGGUAUUUGAAGUUUAUCUUAAAAUCAAAAUUUUGAAAAAUUGGAUAACUAAAUGAAAAUGAUUCACAGUUCAGUUCAGAUAAGUUUUGUAUGUUUUUAUCUAAUUUUUUUAAAUAAAUACAAAUAAAAAGCACAAAUUAUAAAAUAAUAAAAUAACAUAUUUCAAAUUUAUUACUAAUAAGUUAUUAAAUAUUAUAAAAUUGUAAAAUUUAACCAUAUAUAAAAUCUAAAAUUAAAAAAAAAAAGAAAAGGAGUGUAUUUCAAAAUGUACCAUAGUUGAAGGGCCAUCAUACAAUUUUACACCUCUUGAUUCUUGUCAGAACGAAAGUUAGGCAAAAAUGUACAGAACUUAUCACUACGGUGGACAAUUUUGGAUUAAUUAUCUAACCUUACAAAAGAAUUUGGUUUUAUUAUUUAAUCUUAUUAACAUUAUUAUGACUUUAAAAUUAAUUUAAUUAUUAUAAUAAAUUUAUAUUUAUAAAAAUUAUAAAAAUUAUAUUAAUUAAAUUAAAUGAAUAAAGAUAAACGAUUUGUUUAAAUUUGUUUAAAAAACUAUAGUAGACUGAUUUAAAUUAAAUAAAUUAAAAAUUAAAUUUUAAUAAUUAAUUUAAAAUAGCACAUAAUUAAUGCGUUCUUAUCUAAAACUUACGUAGACAUUGUGGUCUCGGUGUCAAUAUAAUUUGGUGCCCAAAUAACUAUUCUCCCUCGGUGCCUCGGUGGCCUAGCGUGUCGUGUAGUGAGUAGUGACCCAUAUUAACUGCACUCAAAAUAGUCUCAUAAUAAUUGAGCAGGAGAUAUUUUGCAGGCUAAGGGGUUAUUUGGUUCUACGAAAAAUUUUAAAAAAAAUUUGAUGAAAAAUAUUUUUUUGUGGAAUUUUUUUUUUUUUACCACAUUUAGUGUUUGGUUCGUAGUUUAUUUAUAUUAAUUUUUAUUAUAAUUUAUAUUUGUGAAUUAAAUAUACUAAAAUUAUAUAAUAUGAUAACUUGAUAGGUAUAUAAUAUAAUAGGGUUAAUUUGAUACAGCUCCCUGCAAAUAUAGUGAAUGAAAAAUAUAUCAUUAUAAAACUCAACUUUCAUAUGUUGUUCUUGUAAAAAUUUCGAUAUUUUCAAAAUAUGUCCCUCUAAUUUGUUACCGUUAGAGAACUAUUUAUAUUUUCAAUUUUGCCAUCAUAAAUAUGUCUCUCCAAAAAUAAUAAUAGUAUAAUAUAAGAGGGAUAAAAAUAUUAAGAACUAAUUAGGGUUAAGUAUUUAAACUAUAGUUUUUAUAAUGGAUUUUAACAGCAGAAAUAUAUUUGAAAAUAUCACGACUUUGUAGGGACAACAUAUGAAAGUUGAACUUUGUAGGAAUAUAUUUACUAUUCACCAUAUUUUCAGGAGUUUGUAUGAAUUAAUCUAAUAUAAUAUGAGCAGGUAUAACCUAAAAUGAGGUGUACAUCUUACACCCACUCCAUCCUAAGGCCAUUAUUAUCACAUUAAUUUUUUAAAAUUCUACUAAAAGCCAAUUCGAUUUUUAUCAACCUUAGAAUUGCGGGUAUAAGAUGUACACCGCAUUUUGGGGUGUACAAGAAGCAUUUUUCAUAUAAUAUAUGUAAUAGUAUACAUAUAAUACUAUAUAAUAAAAAUAUGUAAUAAUUAUAAAUAAAAAUAUAAAAAAUAUAUAAUAACUUUUCACUCUUUCCCUCGCUCUCUCCUAUAUAUAUAUAUAUAUAUAUAUAUAUAUAGAGUCCGUCUCCCGUACUUUCGAAAGUACGGGAGGCCCCGUGCUUGUAAGUUGUUUUCGAUGAUAGGACGUUUAAUUCGACGAUCGGCUCCGUUAGAUAUGAUCUACCCUAUUGGAACUAUCUAGAAACCAAAUUUUAGAUUUUUUUGACAUCAUUUACUAAGCGAUCAAAAGGUCUAGAAAAUGACUAUUUUAACGGUCGAUGUGGCACAUUUUUAAGUUCAACGGUGUAGAAGUAUCCAAAUUACAUGAAAAUUUAAUAGAAAAUUCUACUUAAUAUCAAUAGCAAGAUCAAUACUUCCGAUUUAAAAUUUGAAUCCUUUAUCACUAUUUUUUAUGAGAUUUUCAUUUUCAGCCGUUCAUUUUGAGGCUACUCGUUCACUAGACAAACGAAAUUAAAAAAUUAUGAAAUUUGGUUUCUAGAUAGCUCCAAUAGUGUAGAUCAAGUUUAACGGAACCGAUCGCCGAAUCGGAUGUCCCAUCAUCGAAAACAACUUACAAGCACGGGGCCUCCCGUACUUUCGAAAGCAUAGGAGCCUAGCUCUCUCUCUAUAUAUAAAUAUAUAUAUAGUUGAGUUAGAAUACUAUCGUUAGCAAACGAGCUCCGGUGCCACCCAUUUGUUUUCGAUGAUAGAGCCUCCAAAUCGACGAUCGGCACCGUUGAACAUGAUCUAUACCACUUGAAGUGUUUAGAAAUCAAAUUUCAUAUAUUUUCGAUAUUGUUCUCUUAUCCAUCGAGUGNUUUUCGAUGAUGGAGCCUCCAAAUCGACGAUCGGCACCGUUGAACAUGAUCUAUACCACUUGAAGUGUUUAGAAAUCAAAUUUCAUAUAUUUUCGAUAUUGUUCUCUUAUCCAUCGAGUGGACAUAAAUAUGAACGGCUAAAAAUAAAUAUUCUUUAAAAAAUGAUGAUAGGAGUCUUGUAAUCAAGAUCAAGAGUAUAGAUCUUGUUUUAAAUAGUUUAAAGAAUUUUUUAACAAAAAUUUAAUUGAUUUUGAUAUCUUUACACCGUUAAACAAGAAAACGCCUCAUAUCGACCAUUAAAAUUACAAAUUUUGAAACCCUUUGAUCAUUAGGCAAAUGAUAUCGAAAAGAUUUCAAAUUUGAUUUCUAAACACUUCAAGUAGUAUAGAUCAUGUUCAACGGUGCCGAUCGUCGAUUUGGAAGCUCUAUCAUCGAAAACAAAUGGGUGGCAACGGAGCCCAUUUGCUAUCGAUAGUAUUCUAGCUCAACUCCUCUCUCUCUCUCUCUCUUUCUCUCUCUCUCUCUCUCUCUCUAUAUAUAUAUAUAUAUAUAUAUAUAUAUAUAUAUAUAUAGAGUAAGGCUACUAUACUUCUGGAAGCAUGGAGCUUUCCGUGCUUCCAGGUCGUUUUUCAUGUUGCGACUUUCGAAUCGUCGAUCGGCUCCGUUAAACUUGAUCUAGAGUAUUUGAAGUAUCUAGAAAAUAAAUUAAGCGAUUUUUCGAUAUUAUUUGCCGAGUGAACGAAGGGGCUCAAAAUCAACAGCUAAAAAUAAAAAUCGUACAAAACGUGAUAAUAUGAUAUUAAAAUUUUAGAUCAAAGAUAUUGAUCUUGUUUUAUAUAGUAUAAAGAAUUUUCUAUCAAAAUUUCACGUGAUUUGAAUAUUUCUACACCGUUAAACUUGCAAACGGCUCACUACGGCCAUUAAAAUUAUUGAUUUUGAGCCCCUUCGAUCACUAGGCAAAUGAUAUCGAAAAAUCAUAAAAUUUAUUUUCCAAGUACUUCAAAUACUCUCGAUCAAGUUUAAUGGAGCCGAUCGACGAUUCGAAAGUCGCAACAUGAAAAACGACCUGAAAGUACGGAAGGCUCCGUGCUUCCAGAAGCAUAGUAGCCUCACACUAUAUAUAUAUAUAUAUAUAUAUAUUGUCCGGCUACUAUGUUAUUAAUAGCACGAAGCACUUAGUGCUACCAAGUUUUCCGCCGUUAGAUCUACUUUUUUGAUUAUUUUCAUCCGUUAGAUCAUACUAUUCAACC
rnacentral:lncRNA from 1 species